rnacentral:rRNA from 1 species
GAUGAACGCUGGCGGCGUGCCUAAUACAUGCAAGUCGAGCGAACGGACGAGAAGCUUGCUUCUCUGAUGUUAGCGGCGGACGGGUGAGUAACACGUGGAUAACCUACCUAUAAGACUGGGAUAACUUCGGGAAACCGGAGCUAAUACCGGAUAAUAUUUUGAACCGCAUGGUUCAAAAGUAAAAGACGGUCUUGCUGUCACUUAUAGAUGGAUCCGCGCUGCAUUAGCUAGUUGGUAAGGUAACGGCUUACCAAGGCAACGAUGCAUAGCCGACCUGAGAGGGUGAUCGGCCACACUGGAACUGAGACACGGUCCAGACUCCUACGGGAGGCAGCAGUAGGGAAUCUUCCGCAAUGGGCGAAAGCCUGACGGAGCAACGCCGCGUGAGUGAUGAAGGUCUUCGGAUCGUAAAACUCUGUUAUUAGGGAAGAACAUAUGUGUAAGUAACUGUGCACAUCUUGACGGUACCUAAUCAGAAAGCCACGGCUAACUACGUGCCAGCAGCCGCGGUAAUACGUAGGUGGCAAGCGUUAUCCGGAAUUAUUGGGCGUAAAGCGCGCGUAGGCGGUUUUUUAAGUCUGAUGUGAAAGCCCACGGCUCAACCGUGGAGGGUCAUUGGAAACUGGAAAACUUGAGUGCAGAAGAGGAAAGUGGAAUUCCAUGUGUAGCGGUGAAAUGCGCAGAGAUAUGGAGGAACACCAGUGGCGAAGGCGACUUUCUGGUCUGUAACUGACGCUGAUGUGCGAAAGCGUGGGGAUCAAACAGGAUUAGAUACCCUGGUAGUCCACGCCGUAAACGAUGAGUGCUAAGUGUUAGGGGGUUUCCGCCCCUUAGUGCUGCAGCUAACGCAUUAAGCACUCCGCCUGGGGAGUACGACCGCAAGGUUGAAACUCAAAGGAAUUGACGGGGACCCGCACAAGCGGUGGAGCAUGUGGUUUAAUUCGAAGCAACGCGAAGAACCUUACCAAAUCUUGACAUCCUUUGACAACUCUAGAGAUAGAGCCUUCCCCUUCGGGGGACAAAGUGACAGGUGGUGCAUGGUUGUCGUCAGCUCGUGUCGUGAGAUGUUGGGUUAAGUCCCGCAACGAGCGCAACCCUUAAGCUUAGUUGCCAUCAUUAAGUUGGGCACUCUAAGCUGACUGCCGGUGACAAACCGGAGGAAGGUGGGGAUGACGUCAAAUCAUCAUGCCCCUUAUGAUUUGGGCUACACACGUGCUACAAUGGACAAUACAAAGGGCAGCGAAACCGCGAGGUCAAGCAAAUCCCAUAAAGUUGUUCUCAGUUCGGAUUGUAGUCUGCAACUCGACUACAUGAAGCUGGAAUCGCUAGUAAUCGUAGAUCAGCAUGCUACGGUGAAUACGUUCCCGGGUCU